CGUCUCGGCUCUCUUAGCCAGGAGGGCGCGCCGGGUUCGGGCGGGUCUGGGUCUGCGAAGCCUAGUGUGUAAGCCCUGAGGUGAACGGGGGGCUUCCUUCGCAGCAAGCACGCACGUUGACACGCGUGGCCGUGACAGCCCUGGAGCCCUUUGGCCGCGAGGCCCGGCGUGGAGGAUGCUCCGGUUCAGCCCCCAGUGAAGGCCGGGGUACCUCGAUCCUCGACCCCCUGAAAGAGUCUUGGGGACCCCCAGGUUUCCCCAAGCCACGCUUGGAAAACUGCUGCCCUAGAACAACCAGUGAGGUGGAUUGGACUGAGAGAGAUUGACAGGUUCAAGCCCACCUGGGCAGCUUCAUAGCUGAGGGGAAAGCUGACACACACCCACACAGGGCCCCAGCCCUAGUCAAACCUUCUAAUGACAGCAUCCCUGGAUUGCAGGUGGCUCUUCUGGAGCAUGCUAAAGUGAUCACACUAUAUUCCUGGAAUUGGUACCGGUUGACCUGGAUUGAAUUUAUCCUCAGUAAUGGGCCUGUUAGUCAAGUUUUAUGUUUAGAAAGCAGUAGUAGAAUAUGCAUAACAAAGUAAUGGUCCAUUACAUAGGAAAUGAAAGGUAAUUAUGAAGCGAGUCACCUCCUGUUGAUUACUUCUUUCAAUUAGAAGUGCUUAUGAUUCUAUAUAGAUAAUGCUAGCUCAGAGGACAAGGACAUGCUUGCUUAAUCUAUUUGUAGAAUUGAAAGCAAGUAUUCUUUAGACAUCAAGUAGUCAAAGACCUUCUACUGACAUCAGAGCUGAACUAUGAAUUCCAAAUUUGAACUGUUUGUUCUCUAAGAGAUAACUGAUUUACAGUCAGGUGCUGUUUACCAGUAUAAAACCUGUUUGUUAUAGAAAUAUGUCUGACACUGAUUUUAAGUGGGUGGAGUAGGGGGUGGCAAUUGCAAUGACAGUCACUUUUUGCAAAUUCCUUUGUAAGGAAAAAAUGUAAAGACUAUAAUCUGAUCUUAUAUUGGCACAAGACCAGAAAGGUCAAUUGGUCAAGAAAUCAUCUUGGGCUCUCAUCAGUUUUUGACAAAUCAGUUUUGUUGUUGUUUUUAAAUAACUGCUCAUAUCUUAUCUUGAAUUAAUUAUUGAGACACAACAUUUGAAUUAGGAAAGUCCUUGUGCUUUAAAUGAUAUGCUUCACCAACUGCUGUUGGUUAUCUGCUGAAAUCCACAUCCCAGCUGAGAAGCAGAGUCCUCUAAAUUCCUAGAUGCUCCUGGACCUGUUGCUCUUCCAUCCUGAUGACUUCUCACAUGCCCUCCCUGUACAAUCAAACAGUGGAGAGAAUGAACAGUAAAAAUUGAACAUUUGGCUCUGUCUUCUAGAAUAUGGUGUUGAUUGAACCAGAGGAGGAAUGAGUAAUUAAGUAGUGCAGAUGAGAUGGUGCUCCUCCCCUUGAUUUUGUCUAAAGGGACUUUAAAAGAUGGACCAGCUACCAU